rnacentral:lncRNA from 1 species
GAAUCGCGACAUCCGUAUGCCCCACAACAAAGCACGGAGCAAGAAAGGUCUUCGUCAUGUGUGUAAAGCCUCCCACAUGGGGACGUGCUCACCCGCACAUGCGGGAACACUACCCGUGUGACACAGCACACCGAUCGUGUGGACGAACAACUCCGCAUGCCCCUCGCAUUAGCUAGCAUGUGCACAACAUGCACAAAUGCACAACAGGUCGGGUGCCCAAUGCCCGUGCCCAUUUAAGGCAUCUAACACAAGCACACAUCCAGAGCACAGAUGCCUAGGCCUAGCACACGCCCACGCCUACGAAUGUCCAAGCCAAGAAGGUCAAACGCAUGCCAGCACCUAGUCUGCGUGGAUCCAACCAACGUAGUAGGCUCACUCAUGCGACCCACGCAAGCUCUUGGCGUGACCCGUGUCU